rnacentral:rRNA from 1 species
GACGAACGCUGGCGGCGUGCUUAACACAUGCAAGUCGAACGAAGUGGCGAACGGGUGAGUAAUACGUGAGUAACCUGCCCUCCUUUGUGGGAUAAGCCUUGGAAACGGGGUCUAAUACAGAAUAAAGGGGGAUGGGCUCGCGGCCUAUCAGCUGGUUGGUUGGGUGAUGGCCUACCAAGGGGGUGACGGGUAGCCGGCCUGGGAGGGUGACCGGCCACAUGGGGACUGAGAUACGGCCCAGACGCCGACGGGAGGCAGCAGUGGGGGAUAUUGCACAAUGGGCGAAAGCCUGAUGCAGCGACGCCGCGUGAGGGAUGAAGGCUUUCGGGUUGUAAUCCUCUUUCGCUAUCGAAGGGGUAGGUGGAGAAGAAGCGCCGGCUAACUACGUGCCAGCCGCCGCGGUAAUUC